rnacentral:piRNA from 1 species
UCUUUUGUUGUUGUUCUCAUCAGUGCCUGG